UCUGACCUCCCCUUCUGCUUUCCUUUUUUGUUUGGUGCCUCAAACGUUGCUAUAGGAACACUUCCGCCUCAUCGGCCCGCCCACUACUUUCUAUAGGCUGCGGUCGGGUUGCUGCGUCACUAGGGAUAUCACCUGCAAAGCAGAGCAUCUUGGAUCAUUUUACGCGGGAAGAGUCGGUUCAGAAUUAGUUUUGAGUUUAGCCAGGCCGCACUGCUUGACAGGCACCUUUAUAUCCGAAUCUGGCCAUAAAGAUAUGACUCGCAAGGUGUUUUGUCUCUAAAGAACAACAGCCAAACAACCUGCUUCUAAAGGAAGAAAUGGAGCAACUUGACGUACCUCUAGCUCACUGGAGCCACCCUAGGAAUCAUGGGAAGGAGGCUUGCUGGGAAAUUAGGACCACGGGAAGAGGUGAGAUAUAAAGCCAGCAGGAAAUGUGAUUAUCGAUCGCCCUACAAAUGGACUCAGCAGAGGAGAAAGUGUCAGUUACCGCGACCUAUAAAAAGCAAAGAAGAACAGUAAGGGAAUUUGUUUUUGUCACAUGUAAUAUUUAUAUCCUAAUAAAUGAGCCGGAGAGAUAA